AUACUUAUCUAGGUCUUUAUAUUAAUAUCAACUAUAGUAUUUGUUCUUAUCAGUUUAAUAUUUAAUAUGUGGAUUUUGAAGUCCACAUGAUAUUAAUGGGUCAUUUGUGUCGCCCUAGUAUUGCACCACUGCUAGGGAUCGGCGCACCCAAU
rnacentral:snRNA from 2 species